CCUGCCAGUAGUCAUUAUGCUUGUCUCAAAGAUUAAGCCAUGCAAGUGUAAGUAUAAUUGUUUUACGGUGAAACUGCGAAUGGCUCAUUAAAUCAGUUAUAGUUUAUUUGAUGCUAUAGGUCGAAAGGCCACUACAUGGAUAUCUGUAGUAACAUAGAGCUAAUACAUGCAAUAUAGUCUGACUUUUUGGAAGGACUAGCACUUAUUAGAUAUUAAACCAAUCCUAGCAAUAGGUUUUAUGGUGAUUCAUAGUAACUGAACAAAUCACAUGGUCUUGUACCGGUGAUGUUUCAUUCAAAUUUCUGCCCUAUCAACUAGAUGGUAGUAUAUAGGACUACCAUGGUUGUAACGGGUAACGGAGGAUUAGGGUUUUGAUUCCGGAGAAGGAGCAUGAGAAACGGCUACUAUUUCUAAGGAAAGCAGCAGGCG
rnacentral:rRNA from 1 species